rnacentral:rRNA from 1 species
UGCAGCCGAGCGGUAUUGUUUCUUCGGAAAUGAGAGAGCGGCGUACGGGUGCGGAACACGUGUGCAACCUGCCUUUAUCUGGGGGAUAGCCUUUCGAAAGGAAGAUUAAUACUCCAUAAUAUAUUGAACGGCAUCGUUUAAUAUUGAAAGCUCCGGCGGAUAGAGAUGGGCACGCGCAAGAUUAGCUAGUUGGUGAGGUAACGGCUCACCAAGGCAAUGAUCUUUAGGGGGCCUGAGAGGGUGAUCCCCCACACUGGUACUGAGACACGGACCAGACUCCUACGGGAGGCAGCAGUGAGGAAUAUUGGUCAAUGGGUGCAAGCCUGAACCAGCCAUCCCGCGUGAAGGACGACUGCCCUAUGGGUUGUAAACUUCUUUUGUAUAGGGAUAAACCUUUCCACGUGUGGAAAGCUGAAGGUACUAUACGAAUAAGCACCGGCUAACUCCGUGCCA